UACGGGGGGGGCAAGCGUUGUUCGGAAUUACUGGGCGUAAAGGGUUUGUAGGUGGCUUGUUAAGUCAGACGUGAAAUCCCUCAGCUUAACUGGGGAACUGCUUCUGAUACUGGAUGGCUUGAGUUUGGGAGAGGGAUGCGGAAUUCCAGGUGUAGCGGUGAAAUGCGUAGAUAUCUGGAGGAACACCGGUGGCGAAGGCGGCAUCCUGGACCAACACUGACACUGAAAAGCGAAAGCCAGGGGAGCAAACGGG
rnacentral:rRNA from 1 species